AUAAGUAACGAUAAGGAGGGUUAGAUUCCCUCCCGCUGUAAGACCAAGGUUUCCCGGGCAAUGCCAAUCAGCCCGGGGUCAGUCGGGUCCUAAGUCUAAGCCGAACGGCGAUGGCGAUGGCAGAGACGGUUAAUAUUCCGUCACUGCCGCAUGGGGCGACGUGGAGACGGAGCAGUGAAACCACCGCGGGGCGACGGAAGUCCCCGUUGAAGAGUGUAGGUGUUGAGAGGGGCAGGCAAAUCCACCCCUUGAGCUGAACUUGACAGUACGGAGUCCUCUUCGGAGGAAUCUGACAGUGUGGGUAAUCAUACUCCCGAGAAAAACCGCUAAGCUUAACCCAUGCGGCACCCGUACCGCAAACGGACACACGUGGCCGGGUAGAACAUACUAAGGCGUUGAGAGAUUCAUGGUUAAGGAACUAGGCAAAUUGACCCUGUAUCUUCGGGAUAAAGGGUCCUCGUGAUGAGCGAGGCGCAGAGAAUAGGUCCAGGCAACUGUUUAACAAAAACACAGGGCUGUGCAAACUCGAAAGAUGAGGUAUACAGCCUGACACUUGCCCGGUGCCGGAAGGUUAAGAGGAGAUGUCACCAGCAAUGGGAAGCAUUGAAUUGAAGCCCCGGUAAACGGCGGCCGUAACAAUAACGGUCCUAAGGUAGCGAAAUUCCUUGUCGGGUAAGUUCCGACCUGCACGAAUGGUGUAAUGAUCCGGACGCUGUCUCAACCAUGAGCUCAGUGAAAUUGUAGUAUCGGUGAAGAUGCCGAUUACCCGCGAUGGGACGAAAAGACCCCGUGAACCUUUACUACAGCUUAGCAUUGACCUUGGUCAUCCGAUGUGUAGGAUAGGCCGGAGGCUUCGAAGCGGGAGCGCCAGCUUUCGUGGAGCCAUCCUUGAAAUACGGCCCUUUGGCUGUCUGAGGCCUAACGCGCAGAAGCGCGGACACUGCUUGGUGGGUAGUUUGACUGGGGUGGUCGCCUCCAAAAGCGUAACGGAGGCUUCCAAAGGUGCCCUCGGGUCGAUUGGUAACCGACCUCAAAGAGUGCAAUGGCAUAAGGGCGCUUGACUGGGAGGCAGACAUGCCGAGCAGGCAGGAAACUGGGGCAUAGUGAUCCGGCGGAUGUGUAUGGAAACUCCGUCGCUCAAAGGAUAAAAGGUACUCCGGGGAUAACAGGCUGAUCCCCCCCAAGAGCUCAUAUCGACGGGGUGGUUUGGCACCUCGAUGUCGGCUCGUCACAUCCUGGGGCUGGAGAAGGUCCCAAGGGUUGGGCUGUUCGCCCAUUAAAGUGGCACGCGAGCUGGGUUCAGAACGUCGUGAGACAGUUCGGUCUCUAUCUAUCGUGGGCGUGGGAGUUUUGCGUGGUGCCGUCACUAGUACGAGAGGACCGUGAUGGACAGACCUCCGGUUUACCAGUUGUGCCGCCAGGCGCACCGCUGGGUAUCUGAGUCUGGAUUGGAUAAGCGCUGAAAGCAUCUAAGUGCGAAGCCAGCCGCAAGAUGAGAACUCCAUUGAGGGUCGUCAGAGACGAUGACGUUGAUAGGAUGCAGGUGUAAAGACAGCGAUGUCAAAGCCGAGCAUUACUAAUUGCUC
rnacentral:rRNA from 1 species